UACGGAGGGGGCUAGCGUUGUUCGGAAAUACUGGGCGUAAAGCGCACGUAGGCGGUGGAGUAAGUCAGAGGUGAAAUCCCAGGGCUCAACCCUGGAACUGCCUUUGAAACUGCUACACUAGAAUCAUGGAGAGGUCAGUGGAAUUCCGAGUGUAGAGGUGAAAUUCGUAGAUAUUCGGAAGAACACCAGUGGCGAAGGCGACUGACUGGACAUGUAUUGACGCUGAGGUGCGAAAGCGUGGGGAGCAAACAGGG
rnacentral:rRNA from 1 species